CCCCACACACACACACUUUUUUCCCCUCCCAUCCUUGUCUCGUCCCUUGAAGGCGUAACUAGAGGUUUCUGCUCUAUGCGUGCGGAGAUUUUGUUUCACGAUUUGGCGCUUUGUUCUUUUCUAUGCGCGACAGUAGCUAGGAUACAUUCAACUAAAUUGAAGGUUUUGCAGAAAGAGCGUGGGCACGAAAGGCGAAAGACACAAAGACUGAAGAAAGAUGCCUCCCCCAGAUCGGUCAUCCUGCGGUAGUGACGGGCAGUCUGACCAAUGGCAGUACUGUUUGGACCCAAGAAGGCGGGCUCUCUGCAGAAGGACUGGGAAGGUGGCGGCGGCGAAGGCGCUGGCGGUUGAGGUUGCUCCGAGCCAGGUGAGCCAGGGAAGAACGAUGUGUGUCUCUGAAAUGGGACUUUGGGCGAAAAAUGGAGAAACGCCUGAAGGAGCUGUCUAACCCCGGGGAGACUGGUACUUCGCAUCACACGCCGACCUCAGAGAUGCCCUGGCUCAGGCCUAGCUUGGCCGAGGCCGCCGAGGGGCGGGUAAUACUAGAUUUGACGGACAGUUCCUGACCCUGGCUAGGUUUUGAUUGUAGACUGAUCUUUGCUUCUUCCUCCGCGUUUAUGGAGGCAAAGGUCUAGAACUGCCUUUCUCCUGGGUUGAGUCCUCCCCGCCCCCAGCUUCUCCCUAUCACUGUUUCUGAUGCUGUCUCUAUUACUACUUCCCUUGUCACCCUUCUUAUCCUUCUCUUUGCAUUUCCAGUAAGCGGUUUCCUAAAGCAAACAAGGGUGGGUGUUCGCAGUAAUGGGGCCUUGGGUCAGGAAUUGCCUGCUUCAUUGAGCCGGCCAUACUUGAGCCAUACUAAAGAAUUAUCCCAGGGUCGUGAGGAGGCGCAGAUACUGAUUCUGGAUUUGGGCCUGGUGGUCUGCAUUUGCUUUUUAAAAAUUAUAUAUCUAUAUAUGGCAUUUUAAACAAACUGCCAAGUAUAGCCAGUCCACAGUAGCUGAGUUUUGCAUUGCCUGUCCAGGACAGAUGUUCUAGGCACCCAGACGCUUUUAGAUUUCCUGGGAGCCACAUUUGGACAGUGAAGAGACCACGUGAAAUUAAUUUUAUGUUUCUCUUAAACCAGCUUAUCCAAAUAUUAUUUCAACCUUUAAAGAAAUCAGAUAUUUAAAUGAGACAGUGUAUCUGUUAUGCGUCUUACCCUCGCAGCAUACCCUCGUACCCUCAUCCUAAGGGCACGCCACUCACGUGCGGAGUAGCCACCUGUGGCUAUUCGCCGCUCUCCGAAUCCAGAUGAUGCAAGAGACCAUUGCACAAACUCAGCAGUGUUAGUCAUGUGAUUGCCAGCGACGUCCCUUUGCUGCUCCAGUACAUGGGUUCAGAACUACUUUCACAAUACGAUACUGAGCUUACAAGAAUACCAG
rnacentral:lncRNA from 1 species